ensembl:snoRNA
UAAAGGUGAUGAACUAUCAUAGCCUGAUCUUGUAUAGCAGAGGCAAAAAGUGAUAUUAUAUACCUUU